UGAAUAAUUUAUGUGUAGUAAAAUACAUCUCAAGAAGGACCCUUAAGCCAAAUCAAAAUAGAAGCCAUCAAAUAUGUUUUUCUUAAAGUUACGUUUCGGGUAAGCUGACUUCGGGAGGCCAUAACCUCUUUAUAAUUUGAGAAUUUGGGAAAACUCUCAACAUGAAAGUUGUAGAUAAUUGAAAUAUCUUUCCAACCAUAGGUCGUGGGACGAAAUGUGAUAUCGGAGUAAUAAGAUAUAGACGUUUUAAGUCUGACAGGCCAAACUAAAUAGUGAAUUCGGCCCAACCCAAUUUUAAUUCGGGUCAGGCCCAAUACCCACGAAAUUAAUCAAAAUUCUAUGUCUUCCUUCAUAGUUUAGACCAAGAAAUAUCUGGAAAUUUCCAGAGAGAGUAAGAUAAGGGAAAGCUAGAGAGAAACACCAACAUCCACCACAAUUAAAGCCCCGAAUCUCAAAGCUCUUGAAGAGAAAAUUGUUGUACGUCGCGUUGGCUUCAAUUUGAGCUAGAAAUCAGCCAAUAAGGAGAAGAUUUUAUGUGGUGCUGCAAAUUUAAGGUUGAGACAAUAUUGGACAACAUAUACGUAUAAACGCUAAAGGUACAAAUACUCAUUUUGGAGAGCCGCCAACUUAGGAUUCUACUCAACGAGUUUGAAGUGCUCCAUUGUCUCGGAGCCCAAACUUUGGGUACUAAUCCUUAUAAUGUAUAUAUUUGUGUAUUUAGGGGUACGACGGGGCCCUGUCCCGUCAUAUGCUAUUGUUAAUUCUCUUAGAGGUCUGUAGACAUAUGAGUGGGUUGUAUAUAGAUGUUGUCCGGUGUACUAGUAUGACUUAUGUUUUUGGACGUUUACAUUCAGAAUGGAAGCCUUGUCGGCUUACAUAUUAUGUUAUCUUAUUUUUGACAAUUAAGACUCCCCAAGAAAUAGCUGAUUUUGGUAUAUAUAUAAGUGACCG